rnacentral:lncRNA from 1 species
UGUCACCUCAUUUUUUUUCUGUAGAUUAGAAAUAGGAAUUUUACAUGUUGUGUUUGAGCAUUUUGUGGAUUGGUUUCCAACACAGACAGACGCCUUCUCAGCCUCAUGAACAGAUUCUCUGCAGGAGGAUCCCGUGUGUAUGGUGACUCAGUCAGGCAAACCAACGACGAAAGAAAAUGGUUCCCCAAAACCUAAAACCUGUCAUCCUGUAUCCUGACCACCUGCCAUCAACACAGAAAUGGAGUGAGAACAUUUAUAUUCCUAAUUCCUGACACAGAAAGUUACACCAAUGCAACCCCCUUAAGAGGUAAAAAUGACCAACAACAAUAACUCUGUCCACCUAGGAGAUGAAUAUUGGAGUGAUGGUGCCCAGAAAUCUCUCCUUGGCACUUUAUGGAGAGCCAAGAGACGUGUGGCUUACAUCUCACCAUCUCCUUAACUUUGAGGGAGGUACCACACUUCAAGCAGUGGCAGCAUUGAGACGGCUAAGUGUACUCCUGUGGCUGAUGGGUGGGGAAGAUGCCAAUGACCACACUAUGGCAGAGAGGGUGUGGCGAGGGGAGCCCAGGCUGGGCCCAGGGUGAGCUGCUGUAUCGUGGGAGCGACGAGGGCCAUUCUUGACCAGGCACUGUUGAUCGAGGCCGAGAAUGGGCUGCUGGAAUUUACAGAAGGGUUUUUGCCAAGUCCUGUACCCUCUUCCCAGCCACAGCUCAUAGGGACUCGCUCCCUCACCACCAACACCUUGAUGAUCGUUGCUGUGGUGAGCCUGUCUCUCUCUCAGGAGAAACUAGGACCAAGAGAAAACUGCUAAAGCAUCAGUCGGCGAGUAAGAGGAAUCUGUGCAGCCGCAAAGUCGUGCCUGGAUUUACCCUGCCAUACCCUGCAGUACAAAGAGAAACCUGGGAAAGCCUGAGUCCCUGUGUCGACGUAGCGGUCAGGUUCUGGAGGUGAGGUUCAGCCAGAGCUGACGCUGGAACUUCUCUGCCAGGGGCUCCCCGCAAAAAAAUUCGCUCGAAAUGUUACAAAAUGUGUGUCAGUUGCUGUGUGCAUUCACUUUUCACCCUCUGCCUCAUACCCUGCUUUUUGGUGAAGAAAAGAGUGUAAAACCUAUAGAGUUUUUACCAGUUUCAACAGGUACAUUGCAAGCUACUGAUGUAUCCCAAUGCUCCUUAGCACUUUCCGUAUCCUUCCAUUUGUCCACAAAAUCUGGUGUCCGGAAUAUAAGUUGGAAGACACUUUCCUAGCGGAACCUGGACCACAUCAACCGCUCCUAAUGUUGGUAAUGUUACGUUCGACAAGGCAAGAGGCCUCACAGCACAGUGGUUAUGCCCAUGGACUCGGGAAGCAGACAGCACUUCCACUCUCUGUGCCUUAGUGUUCUCAUCUAUAAAAUGGAUGUACUGAAAGGAGCCACCGCAUAACACUGCUGUGGAAAAUUAAAUGAGUUAACAUCCACAAGUAAUGGAACAGAGCCUUGCAGACAGCAAGCGUUAGCUUCAUUUUUAUCCAGGACAUCCCCGCCUGCCAAAGGCCAAACUAUGAGGCCUCCAGCCAGGAGAUAAUGGCCCAUUGAUGAUACCAACCUCUGUCUCCCAGAAACACAGGGCCACAGCUGGGCAAAACCUAGACUCACUGCCCCCCACAAGUACCAGGGGGAGAGGUGUUCGUAGGGUAGAGGAGAGAGGUGUCCACACGCCUGGUCUACUGAGAACGUCCUCUUCUCAUCGGAUGAAGUAUGAAGUCAGUAAGCUGGUGGACAACCUUAGAAAUACGAAGUAGAAAGCAGAUUUAGUCAUUCUCCAGAUAUCUGGUCCCAUUUCUUCCUAAAACAUGGAAUGCCAAGCCAUUAUAAAACGGUUCCAGAUCCUCCCCAUGGGCCAAGUCAUGCCUGAGCCACAGAGUAACAGUGUUGUGGAAAGAGCCUGCUGUGAGCACCUCUCUCCAUGUCGGUAUUCUAUCUUAAACUAGAUGAUCAACCAACACUUACUGAACAUCCGCUACAAUCAGAGUACUAUUCUCAACCGCUCGGAAUCGUAAAGAAAAUAAUCGUAACUGGUUCUGCAGAAGCUUAUUCAUUCCCUGAGUUAACAAAUAUUUAUUAAAUUCUCACUUUGUACCAG